rnacentral:rRNA from 1 species
CCUUGUUGUCGCGCUACCAUGCAGUCGGAGGUAGCACAGAGGAGCUUGCUCCUCGGGUGACGAGUGGCGGACGGGUGAGUAAUGUCUGGGGAUCUGCCCGAUAGAGGGGGAUAACCACUGGAAACGGUGGCUAAUACCGCAUAAUGUCGCAAGACCAAAGAGGGGGACCUUCGGGCCUCUCACUAUCGGAUGAACCCAGAUGGGAUUAGCUAGUAGGCGGGGUAACGGCCCACCUAGGCGACGAUCCCUAGCUGGUCUGAGAGGAUGACCAGCCACACUGGAACUGAGACACGGUCCAGACUCCUACGGGAGGCAGCAGUGGGGAAUAUUGCACAAUGGGCGCAAGCCUGAUGCACCCAUGCCGCGUGUAUGAAGAAGGCCUUCGGGUUGUAAAGUACUUUCAGCGGGGAGGAAGGCAGUGAGGUUAAUAACCUUACUGAUUGACGUUACCCGCAAAAGAAGCACCGGCUAACUCCGUGCCAGCAGCCGCGGUAAUACGGAGGGUGCAAGCGUUAAUCGGAAUUACUGGGCGUAAAGCGCACGCAGGCGGUCUGUUAAGUCAUAUGUGAAAUCCCCGGGCUUAACCUGGGAACUGCAUUUGAAACUGGCACGCUUGAGUCUCGUAGAGGGGGGUAGAAUUCCAGGUGUAGCGGUGAAAUGCGUAGAGAUCUGGAGGAAUACCGGUGGCGAAGGCGGCCCCCUGGACGAACACUGACUCUCAUGUGCGAAAGCGUGGGGAGCAAACAAGAUUAUAUACCCUGGUACUCCACGCCGUACACGAUGUCGACUUGGAGGUUGUUCCCUUGAAGAGUGUCUUCCAGAGCUCACGCGUUAAGUCCACCGCCUGGGGAGUACGGCCGCAGGUUAAAACUCAUAUGAAUUGACGGGGGCCCGCACAAGCGGUGGAGCAUGUGG